UGGGGAAUUUUGGACAAUGGGCGAAAGCCUGAUCCAGCAAUGCCGCGUGUGUGAAGAAGGCCUUCGGGUUGUAAAGCACUUUUGUCCGGAAAGAAAUCCUUGGCUCUAAUACAGUCGGGGGAUGACGGUACCGGAAGAAUAAGCACCGGCUAACUACGUGCCAGCAGCCGCGGUAAUACGUAGGGUGCAAGCGUUAAUCGGAAUUACUGGGCGUAAAGCGUGCGCAGGCGGUUUGCUAAGACCGAUGUGAAAUCCCCGGGCUCAACCUGGGAACUGCAUUGGUGACUGGCAGGCUAGAGUAUGGCAGAGGGGGGUAGAAUUCCACGUGUAGCAGUGAAAUGCGUAGAGAUGUGGAGGAAUACCGAUGGCGAGGGCAGCCCCCUGGGCCAAUACUGACGCUCAUGCACGAAAGCGUGGGGAGCAAACAGGAUUAGAUACCCUGGUAGUCCACGCCCUAAAACGAUGUCAACUAGUUGUUGGGGAUUCAUUUCCUUAGUAACGUAGCUAACGCGUGAAGUUGACCGCCUGGGGAGUACGGUCGCAAGAUUAAAACUCAAAUGAAUUGACGGGGUCAUAGCUGUUUCCU
rnacentral:rRNA from 1 species